rnacentral:rRNA from 1 species
UGGGGAAUAUUGCACAAUGGGCGCAAGCCUGAUGCAGCGACGCCGCGUGGGGGAUGACGGCCUCGGGUUGUAAACCUCUUCAGCAUCGACGAAGCCUUUUUGGGUGACGGUAGGUGCAGAAGAAGCGCCGGCUAACUACGUGCCAGCAGCCGCGGUAAGACGUAGGGCGCGAGCGUUGUCCGGAUUUAUUGGGCGUAAAGAGCUCGUAGGCGGCUUGUUGCGUCAGCUGUGAAAGCCCAUGGCUUAACUGUGGGUUGGCAGCUGAUACGGGCAGGCUAGAGUUCGGUAGGGGAGACUGGAAUUCCUGGUGUAGCGGUGAAAUGCGCAGAUAUCAGGAGGAACACCGGUGGCGAAGGCGGCUUGCUGGGCCUGUCCUGACGCUGAGGCACGACAGCUGGGGGAGCAAAGCAGGAUUAGAUACC